AUUGAACGCUGGCGGCAGGCCUAACACAUGCAAGUCGAACGAGUGGCGGACGGGUGAGUAAUGUCUGGGAAACUGCCCGAUGGAGGGGGAUAACUACUGGAAACAGUAGCUAAUACCGCAUACCAUCGGAUGUGCCCAGCUGGGAUUAGCGAGUAGGUGGGGUAACGGCUAACCUAGGCGACGAUCCCUAGCUGGCCUGAGAGGAUGACCGCCAAAACUGGAAUUGAGACACGGUCCAGACUCCUACGGGAGGCAGCAGUGGGGAAUAUUUCACAAUGGGCGAAAUCCGGAGGCAGCCAUGCCGCGUGUAUGAAGCAGGCCUUCGGGUUUUAAAGUACGUUCAGCGAGGAGGCGUUACUGGCAGAAGAAGCACCGGCUAACUCCGUGCCAGCAGCCGCGGUAAUAC
rnacentral:rRNA from 1 species